rnacentral:misc_RNA from 1 species
UUCUUGCAGCCCGACCUGAGUGGAGCUCUUUUUGUAAGCCUGGGAAGAGCCUUGCACAAAAAAGCGGGAACGGAGGGCGGAAAUAGCU